UACGGAGGGGGGCUAGCGUUGUUCGGAAUUACUGGGCGUAAAGCGCGCGUAGGCGGACCUGCAAGUCGGGGGUGAAAGCCCGAGGCUCAACCUCGGAACUGCCUUCGAUACUGCGGGUCUCGAGUCCGGGAGAGGUGAGUGGAAUUCCUAGUGUAGAGGUGAAAUUCGUAGAUAUUCGGAAGAACACCAGUGGCGAAGGCGGCUCACUGGUCCGGUACUGACGCUGAGGUGCGAAAGCGUGGGGAGCAAACAGG
rnacentral:rRNA from 1 species